CGGGUGCUGCCUGGUUCGUGAGAACAAAUUUGUCUCGGGGCCUUACGCUUCUGAAGGGAGCUGUUCCUGGGGAGGACCGUGGUCCUCUUCACACGGCGCCCACCUACUUAUGUAGGUCUCCGAGGAAGCACAGUUCCACGGCCAAGGCGGCCCCGCU
rnacentral:other from 1 species